rnacentral:rRNA from 1 species
UACGAAGGGGGCUAGCGUUGUUCGGAUUUACUGGGCGUAAAGCGCACGUAGGCGGUUUGUUAAGUGAGAGGUGAAAUCCCAGAGCUCAACUCUGGAACUGCCUUUCAUACUGGCAAGCUAGAGUCCGGAAGAGGUAAGUGAACUCCUAGUGUAGAGGUGGAAUUCGUAGAUAUUAGGAAGAACACCAGUGGCGAAGGCGGCUUACUGGUCCGGAACUGACGCUGAGGUGCGAAAGCUGGGAGCAAAC